rnacentral:misc_RNA from 1 species
UGUUUUUCCAGGUACUGUUAUGCCUACAGUAGCUGAACGGAAUGCUAUGAGACAACCUGAGGUGCCAGGAGAACAUGGAAGUGCAAGCAGUGAGGAUCCUGAUGAAUUAGCAUUUUCUGGUGAAAUGUCUCAUCUUUAUCCUGAUUAUCCUUUUCUUGCUAAUGAGGCAGUGUCCAAAUGGCAAUUGAAAGGAAAAAGGAAUAUUCGGCACCUUACAAAAAAGUCUCUAGAUAGAGAUGGAAAAGUUUUAAAUGGUCCUCUUCAUGGAACCUACCAUGGGAUAAAGGGUAGCACUUUGGGUCAAAGAGGAUAUGGUUUUCAUGAUGCUGAUUUGGGCAGAAAAUAUAUUGGGACCAAAAUGGCUGGGCAGUAUAAUGGUCGUUAUUCAUAUGCAUCCAGGUAUGCAUCCAAAGGUAUCUGGUCAUAAUAUUAUUGAUUGGAGGGACAUGGCUUGGGAGGAUCAUCCUGCUUUUAAAGGACAUUGGGAGGACAGGGCAGAACACU